GAUGAACGCUGGCGGCGUGCCUAAUACAUGCAAGUCGAGCGAACAGACGAUGAGCUUGCUCCUCUGACGUUAGCGGCGGACGGGUGAGUAACACGUGGAUAACCUACCUAUAAGACUGGGAUAACUUCGGGAAACCGGAGCUAAUACCGGAUCAUAUAUUGAACCGCAUGGUUCAAUAGUGAAAGACGGUUUUGCUGUCACUUAUAGAUGGAUCCGCGCCGCAUUAGCUAGUUGGUAAGGUAACGGCUUACCAAGGCAACGAUGCGUAGCCGACCUGAGAGGGUGAUCGGCCACACUGGAACUGAGACACGGUCCAGACUCCUACGGGAGGCAGCAGUAGGGAAUCUUCCGCAAUGGGCGAAAGCCUGACGGAGCAACGCCGCGUGAGUGAUGAAGGUCUUCGGAUCGUAAAACUCUGUUAUUAGGGAAGAACAAAUGUGUAAGUAACUAUGCACGUCUUGACGGUACCUAAUCAGAAAGCCACGGCUAACUACGUG
rnacentral:rRNA from 1 species